UACGUAGGGGGCAAGCGUUGUCCGGAUUUAUUGGGCGUAAAGAGCGUGUAGGCGGUUUGGUAGGUCCGUUGUGAAAACUCGAGGCUCAACCUCGAGACGCCGAUGGAAACCAUCAGACUAGAGUCCGGAAGAGGAGAGUGGAAUUCCUGGUGUAGCGGUGAAAUGCGCAGAUAUCAGGAAGAACACCCGUGGCUAAGGCGGCUCUCUAGUACGGUACUGACGCUGAGACGCGAAAGCGUGGGAGCGAACAGGAUUAGAUACCCGGUAGUCAGUCCAGAUCCAAGUCUCGUCUGCCGACCAUAACUACGACACCUGCCGAUGACGCGAGGG
rnacentral:rRNA from 1 species